UACGUAGGGCGCAAGCGUUGUCCGGAAUUAUUGGGCGUAAAGAGCUCGUAGGCGGUUUGUCGCGUCUGUCGUGAAAGCUUGGGGCUUAACCCCAAGUCUGCGGUGGAUACGGGCAGACUAGAGGCAGGUAGGGGAGAACGGAAUUCCCGGUGUAGCGGUGAAAUGCGCAGAUAUCGGAAGGAACAUCAGUGGCGAAAGCGACUUCCUGGACCAAUACUGACGCUCAUGUGCGAAAGCGUGGGGAGCAAACAGG
rnacentral:rRNA from 1 species